rnacentral:rRNA from 1 species
AGUGAACGCUGGCGGUAGGCCUAACACAUGCAAGUCGAACGGCAGCACAGUAAGAGCUUGCUCUUACGGGUGGCGAGUGGCGGACGGGUGAGGAAUACAUCGGAAUCUACUUUUUCGUGGGGGAUAACGUAGGGAAACUUACGCUAAUACCGCAUACGACCUACGGGUGAAAGCAGGGGAUCUUCGGACCUUGCGCGAUUGAAUGAGCCGAUGUCGGAUUAGCUAGUUGGCGGGGUAAAGGCCCACCAAGGCGACGAUCCGUAGCUGGUCUGAGAGGAUGAUCAGCCACACUGGAACUGAGACACGGGCCAGACUCCUACGGGAGGCAGCAGUGGGGAAUAUUGGACAAUGGGCGCAAGCCUGAUCCAGCCAUACCGCGUGGGUGAAGAAGGCCUUCGGGUUGUAAAGCCCUUUUGUUGGGAAAGAAAAGCAGCAGGUUAAAACCCCGCUGUUCUGACGGUACCCAAAGAAUAAGCACCGGCUAACUUCGG